CCUGGUCUCCUCCCAUGUAGACAGAGAGAGAGAUCACUCCAUGAAGAGGGACAGAGGGAGAGGAGGGUGUUCUCUUCAUCACUCCAUGGUGUCCUGGUUCUCCUGGUCUCCUCCCACGUAGACAGAGAGAGAGAGAGAUGAAGAGGGACAGAGGGAGAGGAGGGUGUUCUCUUCAUCACUCCAUGGUGUCCUGGUUCUCCUGGUCUCCUCCCACGUAGACAGAGAGAGAGAGAUGAAGAGGGACAGAGGGAGAGGAGGGUGUUCUCUUCAUCACUCCAUGGUGUCCUGGUUCUCCUGGUCUCCUCCCACAGAGAGAGAGAGAGAGAGAUGAAGAGGGACAGAGGGAGAGGAGGGUGUUCUCUUCAUCACUCCAUGGUGUCCUGGUUCUCCUGGUCUCCUCCCAUGUAGACAGAGAGAGAGAGAUGAAGAGGGACAGAGGGAGAGGAGGGUGUUCUCUUCAUCACUCCAUGGUGUCCUGGUUCUCCUGGUCUCCUCCCAGACA
ensembl:lncRNA